rfam:Cricetulus griseus cell line CHO-K1, whole genome shotgun sequence.
GGAUGUGGGCAAUCUGGCUGUGACAUCUGUCACCCCAUUGAUUACCAGGAUCAGUUCAGUUGAGCUGGCUGGCUAGGCAGGUAUCCCCUUCCUCCAUCACUGUUCCAUGUGCAUCUCUCCCAAAUCUGCAAGAGGAAGAUCUUUCUCAGUAGAGGAGGGCCAGGUUUUGGUCAAAAAUAUAUGAGUAGCUUCAUUCCCCAGCUAGAACCUCCAACAAGCUCACAUUCUCGUUCUUAAUGAAGUUCCUCUCUGGAUUUUAAAUGGAAUCUUCUCUUUUCUUUCAAGGCUUCAUCAUGUUUUCCUGUCUGA